UACGAAGGGGGCUAGCGUUGCUCGGAAUCACUGGGCGUAAAGCGCACGUAGGCGGCUUUUUAAGUCAGGGGUGAAAUCCUGGAGCUCAACUCCAGAACUGCCUUUGAUACUGAGAAGCUUGAGUCCGGGAGAGGUGAGUGGAACUGCGAGUGUAGAGGUGAAAUUCGUAGAUAUUCGCAAGAACACCAAUUGCGAAGGCAGCUCACUACGGGAUUAUUGACACUGAGGCACGAAAGCGUGGGGAUCAAACAGG
rnacentral:rRNA from 1 species